AUUGAACGCUGGCGGAAUGCUUUACACAUGCAAGUCGAACGGCAGCACGGGGCAACCUGGUGGCGAGUGGCGAACGGGUGAGUAAUACAUCGGAACGUGCCCAAUCGUGGGGGAUAACGUAGCGAAAGCUACGCUAAUACCGCAUACGAUCUACGGAUGAAAGCGGGGGAUCGCAAGACCUCGCGCGAAUGGAGCGGCCGAUGGCAGAUUAGGUAGUUGGUGGGGUAAAGGCUCACCAAGCCUGCGAUCUGUAGCUGGUCUGAGAGGACGACCAGCCACACUGGAACUGAGACACGGUCCAGACUCCUACGGGAGGCAGCAGUGGGGAAUUUUGGACAAUGGGCGCAAGCCUGAUCCAGCCAUGCCGCGUGAGUGAAGAAGGCCU
rnacentral:rRNA from 1 species